GGACGGGGCAGCUUCUCCAAGCAACCUGUUCCAGGAGUCCUGUACCUGCACGUGGCCAUGUGCAUCAGCUGCCAAAGGACCCCAGGAAGUCAUGAGGAAAGAGCUGUUGCCCCAGCCAUGCAAGCACUGGGACCAGGGGAUAUCUCUGUCCAUCUCUGAUUGCUUUUGUAUGAGCAAUCACCUCAGCAGGUAAGCCACCAUUUCACAGAUUAGCCCAAUUUCCCUGUUAAGGACUCUGACUCACCUGUGGCCUUCAGAGAACCACUGACAGAGCUGCCAUCACUUCCCACCUGGGCUGUGCAGAGUGAUCCUGAGUCCAGAGGAGAACACUCCAGUGCCCCAGUGUCAGAGCUGUCCUCAAGCGCCUGUUUGGAACUGGAGCUUGGAGUACAGUUCAGAGGCUCCUAAAGAGCCAUUUUUAACUCUUUAUUCCUUCUGCUCAACCUCAAAUUCACACAAGAAUAUGCUGCAUCCAGUGAUCACAUGAAUCUCCGCAGAGUUUUAUUGCCUUGAGGAGCCGCCCCAGAGCUGAGGAACAGCUGCACUCAGGGAACACCCUUGGUCACCCAGAGAGCAGCCCCAGGGUAUUUUCAGCCACCACCAUUCCUCAGAGAGUGGUUCUUGAGGAGAAUCCAGUUUCCUCAGCCCACCACCCAGCAGUUGCAUGGCCUUUCAGAGGCACUACCUGGACCAGAGCAGCAGAAUCCUCAAGAGGGCCGUGGGAGAGAAAGAUGAAUGGGAUCAGGACACUCCUCACCCCUCCUCCUCUCCAAACACACUGGGAUAUGCUACAGCAUCUGUUCAACACAGAAGCAGCUCAUUGCUUUCAUUUGGAAACACUGUUUUGCCCUCCAGGGAUCCAUCCUCUCCCCAACCCAUGACAAAAUCUACUGAGCCCUCUGACAGACCCUUCCUGAAGUGAGGCAGCCUCACCCAAACCCCACAGCACUUCCAGGCCAGAGCCAUCUCCCACCAGUGUCGACUCAGCUGCCUUUUGAAAUGGCUGCAGUAAGAUGUUGGAGGACCACAGAUACUCCACCCCCAAAAUGCACAGUUUUCAAGGACUUUGAACCCUUCACUGCGUCCUGAAAUCAUGGAUAGCGCAAGCAGACCUGGGAGGAAAAUAAACUAAAAGGUUCUGCCAAAAGAAACAGCAGGCAUAGGCUCUGCAAACACAGAGAAAGUCUCCCAAAAUAAGCAGCCAUCCUGGCAGGACAGCAAAAGAGAACAGACCCCAUAUGCUGAUUUCCUUCUCAGCAUCCUAUGCAAAUCAUGCCUGGUUAAAACCCCCUGGAGCCCAAGGAAUCAGUUCCAAGAUCACCGGAAGAAUUCACAUGAAAGUACUGGACUUGCUGCUGAGAGCCCAGGCUGAGAUUUUAAAAUGUAGUGACAGAAGGAAGCCAUGUGGAAUAUUUCUGUUCUGAAACUGUUUUCUGAUUCUUUUGAAAAGACAAAACUGGUCACUGGAUUCAGCUGUUGAGUUCUGAUCCCUCAGCUCCUGGUCCAGUUUUUGAUGCUGAUCAAGGAUGGAAGGACAACAGCAGAGCUCUAGGAACCUGGAUGUGCAGUACUGAUGGCUGGAGUAAAACAGCAAGAACAAAACACUGAGGAGUCUCCCUUCCCCACAGCCCAUUUCUGACCAGGGCAGAGCGAGUACCGUGUGCCUGCUGAACCCCAGGUUAUGUCGGGCUGCUCCAGAGCCUGCAGGUCAGCACGCUGCCGGCAGCCGUGACACAGCCUUGACACCUUGACCCCGCUGCGAGCUAUUCCAGAGGAUGAACCCCACUGAAGCAGGGCCGACCCGCUCCCGCAGGGCGCCAGCACCUGUGUGCAGUGCCUGGUGAUCGCUGGGAGACACCUUUGAAACUUGGGGACACAUCUCACUGGGGCUGCAACAUGCCUUUGACACCUUCUCCAGGGAGGGAAGAGCAGAAACCCCUGGUACGGACAUCUGGAGCUUUCAGCCAUCUGGAUCCUGCAUCAGCUCCAGGGCUGAAUGGGUGCCACAAAAGUGCAUCAAUUCCCUUCUGCCCCUGGGAAAUCAUGAGAAGGGAGGAGGAUUUAAAUUAAGCCAGGGAUUAUAUUAAUACUGGCCUCAGUGAUCUGUCAGAAGAGAUGGGGAGCAAGGGGAGCUUAGCAGGGUGAGGAGCAGCUAGGCAGCACAAGGGCCCAAGGUUGAGGCUGUUGGCAGUAGGGGACCAGGGCAGCCCGGGGAAAAUGUGGGAGCUCCAGGGGUGUUAUCUGGGGCACCACUGUACACAGCAGCCCCAGGGCAGAAGCGCAGGGUGCUGCUGGUACCAGUGAGAGAUGCAGCCUGCCCCACCCACUGGGAGAUCCCUCCAAACCAGUCCAAAUCCCCAUGCCAGCUCUGUCAGGACCACGCAUUGCUGGAGUGAGCCUCUGAGCAUGGCACACUUGCCCCUAACAAGUUCCCUUUGCCUGGCAGACACUCAGUCCUGUUAUUUUCCAGUAUUUAUUGAUUAGGGAUCUGAUUUAGCAUGUAAGGGGAGUGCCCUGAUCCUGAGCAAGAAAGAGCCACCACAACAGAUCCUGCCAAGGCAACUGAAGCAUGGUGCUCUGCUGCAGCACUGUGCUAUGCUCUACCUUCCUGCACCACCUCUGUCAGGCCUGGAAGCCACCUAAUCCUCAGGGGAUGCAGCCUGCAGGGUUUAGGGAGGGCAGCAUGUCCCUGCAGCUCUGCCAAAGACGCCACAUGGCCAGUGACCCCAGCUGACCGUGUUUAUGCUCUAGGGGCCCCUGGGUACCUCCAGGGUAAUCCGUGGGUGCUGGCAGCUGUUGGAGUCACUUGCUCACCUGAGCAGGGAUGUGCCUGGUUUGGCUCCCAGUGGCUGUGCAGUCUGGUUGUCUUGCUGACUUUUUGGCAUCCGUGGUGGACACCAGUUACCCACCAAGCUGCUCUAGCACUCCUUUCCUCAGCAGGAUAGGGCAGGGAGAAGGUAAGAUGGAAAAUAACUUGUGUGUCAAGAUAAAGGAAGAUUAAUAAAGCAAAAGCAAAAGCUGCAUGCAGAAGCUGUGGAAAGCAAAGGAUUUAUUCUCUACUUCCCAUCAGCAGGUGAUGUCCAGCUGCUUUCUAGAAAGUAGGGCUUAAGCUCUUACAGUGGUUACUCUGAAAGAUGGUUGUCUUCUUGUGUCUACAGCAAUUAUAUUGACAGCCUUCUUGGGAUUUCCUCCUCUUAACAGCUCUGUUCCCUCUCACAUCUCAUGCGUGGGCUUUCUUCUUAAAGCUGGGUUCACCAUCCUACUGCUUGUUGUCCUCCCCUGCUCAGGCGAGAAGAAACAGAGUACACCACAUGCAUCUGGGGCUCACUCUCCCUCUGACCAUGACAGGAAGGGACUGACUUCUUGGAGUGCUCCUGACAGCCAAGACAAUGGCUUAUAGGGAUGAGGAGGGACAGAUAUUUCAUCAAAGUUCUGGAGCCAAGAAAAUGUUUUCUUCACAGCUGGUGUUUUCAUAUCUGGACAAUACAUUGCUGCCAAACUGCCAGAAUGACACUGGGGCACUCUGAAUCACGUUCCUCCACACAGCCUGUGUGCACAGAACACCCUCUGGAUCUUUGAGGACAUCAUCAUUGUCUAGAUCACUGUAGAUAACCUCCAGCACAACUUAAUUCUCUCAGGUGCUGGAUGUCUUCACCUGUGUUGAUCCACUUCCCUUAGUUCACAAGAUCUUCCCUGAAUAGAUAUCUUGCCCUCACACUUGAGAGGAGCUGCCUGCAGAGACUGUAAAUUGCUGCCACAAACCCCCAGUUGUUAGUAGUUUUAAACAGCCCAUGUGAGGGUGAGCAGGGACCUCAUGAGCCUGCACCAUAAAUCCACCCACAUCAAUCCUGGGUAAGGAGAGAGAGAUGUAUUCCCUGAUCCUCUCCACAGGGCAGCUCCCCCAGAAGAGCAAGGCCGUCAGUGCCAGGGCAAAGCACAGAGCCAUGGUUUGUACUAACUUGUUCCCAAAGCCCAGCAAAGUAAAGAGAUAAGACAUGCAGCCAACAAACACUGUGACCCAACAGGAGCUGCCUACUUAGUAACUACUAUGACUAAAGCUCACUUAGCACAAGUUAAGGAAUGGGCUUAUCUGGGCAUGACCUUGUGCUGGUGGGAGCCCUCUGGGAGCAGCACUGCCCUGGCCCCAUGGGCAGGAUGGGACCUUGCCUGCGAUUCCUGGGCACCUGUGAUUUGUCUGGAGAUGGGGACAUGGCCCAGGAGCCAUGUGCUGGGUGAGCAAUGCCAGGGCUGUGGGGGCUGUACUGGGGCAGGGACUCUACAGGGCGCAGGGCUGCUUCAGCAUGAGAGGUUUUACUCCCCUGGCUCAGCUGCAUCCCUGCAGAGAGGCUGCAGCACGUGUGCUGCUGCUUGGCUCUCACUGCCAGCUCUGGGAGUUAGGGCAAACAAUACGAAGCUGGUGCCAAGGUGAGGAGCCCUGAUCCAGCUUGGACCCCCUGCCGGCCUGUGGUCACACAAUGCUGCCAGCUCAUGCCCCCAUUAAUUCACCACACGUCCCGUGCUGCAGCUGGGGCUUGGGCCUCUGCCUUUGUUCCAGCCCCGGUGCACGGCUCUGCAGCUGCUUCUCCAAGGUGUGUGCCCGGCAGCAGCUCCAGCCCAUGGUGUCUGCUCUGAAACACUUCCCAGCACAGGAACCUCCUGAGCAGACCUGCCACCCCUAGCCUUGGCCACUCCCUUUUGCCCUGAGCCUACAGCUCUGAGCAGGUUGCCAGGUACCCCAUCAUCCAUUUACUCCAGGAAAGAGCUCUGUAGGUGGAGCAAGAUGGGGAAGACUCCAUCAUUCAUCCCCCUCUACCCCACACAGCUCAACCUGCCCUAAGGAAGUGACCUGUGUUGUUUUUGUGAGCUGGUCUGAGGCGGCAGGGAGGAGGACAUGCCUGGGCUGCAGAGCUGCCUCUCAGACACAACACUGCAGGCAGGGGCUUGUCCCAGCUUCAGUGCAACCACAGGCAUGGCAGUGGCUGAGCCACACACCACUGCCCUCACCUCCCCGCCUGUCCCCAGCCCUUCCCCAGAACCCCUUGGCUGGCUUUUAGGGACAUGUUAAAUGACAAGGUGGCAGAGCAAGUAGCACCAUAGGAGGCAGCACCAGACAUAGUUUUACCCUGAUGUAAGUGCACAGACAGGAUGGCCCUUCAGGAGACAGCACAAGGCAUCUGUUGCAACAUGCUUAUCUGCUGCCCAUGGCUCCGGAGCUGGUUCCUGGAAAACCACAGAGGAGUCUGUCAGGCACUGGCUCAGAGCCGGGCAGAGGGGAGCUCAGCCGGUGCUGCCACAGACUGCUCUGGGACCCACAGAAAAGGCACAUGGCAGCAGGGCAGAAGAAGGGGACAGGACCUGGACAGGGGGAUGGAGAGAAGCUGCUCCUGUUGCAGCUCUGGAAGUGCCUCUGCCCUGCUUGAAGGUGAUUCAGGGAGAAAGUGGCAAAAGAUUGAAUUCCCAAGCUGACCCUGCACCUCACCCACUGUGCCAAGCUGGUACCCUGCAUCAUGCUGUGCCCAGCCUGGCUCCAGGUUCCCCGUGGGCAGCAGGAGAUUCCCAUACAAGUUCUUACAGGCAGGUUUAGGGCUGUGAUAUCACAGAGUGCCACCAGCACUGGCAGUGGGGCACACAGGCUUGGGGACAGCAGUAUCCAAGAAGAGAACACUGAUCUCUGCCCUGUCCAGGCAGAGUGAGCCUUAUCCACCAUGGAAAGGUUUUGAUUUUGUUUUUCCACCCCUCACAUUAUGAAGGUGCAUGAGCAGUCUCAGGUACCCCUGGUAAACUUCUGUCAGCUGUGCCACAACUUGGGCAUUGGGUGCAUCCCUGCUGCCAUCACUGCCAUGGGUUUGAGCCCCCACCUUAUUUUCCCCUCCAUUUCCUGGGAUGUCAUACCCCAGCUGUUGCCUGUGGAGAGGAAUAAAUCACGGAGAGGGGGAUAUGCAUUGGGAAGAGGGGAACAAAAUGGCUUUUCAUGCCAUAAUCCUUUGUAAUAAAACACCAGAGGCAAGAAAGAUGAUAAACAAUGUCUCCUGUGUGAGCCAGCUGCUUCCUAAAAUAAAGCGCUCCUCUGCUCCGUCAGC